CAUAGCGACUAUCGUGGCAUAUCAAUAAGCGGAGGAAAAGAAACUAACAAGGAUUCCCCUAGUAACGGCGAGUGAAGCGGGAAGAGCUCAAAUUUGAAAUCUUAAAGGGUUUCCCUUUACGAAUUGUAGUUUAAAGAAGUGUUUUCUGUUGGAGUUUCGGUAAAAGUUCUUUGGAAUAGGACAUCAUAGAGGGUGAGAAUCCCGUAUUUGACCGUUACUUUCCAACUGUGUGAUACACUUUCAAAGAGUCGGAUUGUUUGGGAAUGCAGUCCAAAAUGGGUGGUAAAUUUCAUCUAAAGCUAAAUAUUGGCGAGAGACCGAUAGCGAACAAGUACCGUGAGGGAAAGAUGAAAAGAACUUUGAAAAGAGAGUUAAACAGUACGUGAAAUUGUCAAAAGGGAAGCGUUUGACACCAGUGUUGUUUAGUUGAAAAUCAAUUCAAUAAUUUUUGAUUUUGAGUAGUAUUGACUUCAUCAGCUUGCUGCUUUCUUUUCGGAAAUUAUUGAAUGCACUUUUCAGUUAACAAGUCAACAUCAAUUUCUUUUGUUGUAAAAGGGUAAGAGGAAGGUGGCUUACGCUUCGGCGUAAGUGUUUAUAGCCUUUUACCUCUGCAAUCGGAGAGAUUGAGGACAGCAGCGUAGACUCUUCGGGGUUAGAUACAUUUGUGCUAAGUUAUAGCUUGUCAUAGACAACUUGUUGACUAUGUUUAGUCGUGUAGCUUACUCGCAUGAUGCUAUUUUACCUACGCUUAGGAUGUUGACGAGACUGUCGAUCUC
rnacentral:rRNA from 1 species